GUCAGGACACAGCAUGGACAUGAGGGUCCCCGCUCAGCUCCUGGGGCUCCUGCUGCUCUGGCCUCCAGGUGCCAGAUGUGACAUCCAGAUGACCCAGUCUCCUUCCUCCUUGUCGGCAUCUCCAGGAGACAAAGUCACCACCACUUGCCAGGCCAGUCAGGGUAUUAGUGGUUACUUGAACUGGUAUCAGCAGAAACCAGGGAAGGCUCCUAAACUUCUGAUCUAUGAGGCAUCCUAUUUGCAAUCUGGGGUUCCACCGAGGUUCAGUGGCAGUGGAUCUGGAACAGGUUACACUCUCACCAUCAGCAGCCUAGAAACUGAGGAUGUUGCAACUUACUACUGUAUGCAGUAUGAUGAGUACCCUCCCACCGUGAUAUAA